GAUGAACGCUGGCGGCGUGCCUAAUACAUGCAAGUCGAGCGAACGGACGAGAAGCUUGCUUUUCUGAUGUUAGCGGCGGACGGGUGAGUAACACGUGGAUAACCUACCUAUAAGACUGGGAUAACUUCGGGAAACCGGAGCUAAUACCGGAUAAUAUUUUGAACCGCAUGGUUCAAAAGUGAAAGACGGUCUUGCUGUCACUUAUAGAUGGAUCUGCGCUGCAUUAGCUAGUUGUUAAGGUAACGGCUUACCAAGGCAACGAUGCAUAGCCGACCUGACAGGGGGAUCGGCGACACGGGAAGUGGGACAGGGUCAAGACUCCUAAGGGAGGCACCAGUAGGGAAUCUUCCGCAGUGGGCGAAAGCCUGACGGAGCAGCGCCGAGUGAGUGAUGAAGGUCUUCGGAUCGUAAAACUCUGUUAUUAGGGAAGAACAUAUGUGUAAGUAACUGUGCACAUCUUGACGGUAACUAAUCAGAAAGCCACGGCUAACUACGUG
rnacentral:rRNA from 1 species